rnacentral:misc_RNA from 1 species
AAGGAGCUUAUUGAGGCCAGGAGGGCUUAUGAAUAUGAAAAGAAAGCCAAUGAAGAACAAAUUGAACAAAAGCAAGCGAUGGAGAAGAACCUUGUUUCAAUGGCUCGUGAAAUAGAGAAACUGCGAGCAGAGAAGCUCAACAUAGAGAGAGCACGGGGAUUAGGUGCUGAGGGUUUUGGGAUCUUGAACAGAAGUCCUGAAAUGAGAUAUGCAGGUGGUGCAUAUGGUAGUAGCUAUGGUAGUUCUUGGGCACCAUAUGAGAAGCGUACCCGACGUUAAGUUUCAG